AUGGAAUUUUGGGCUAUCGAGGGAUUCAGUGUUUGUCAUAUUUUACAAGAGACGCUUACUUAUAAAUCUGAUCAUAAUAAAGCACUUCAAGAAUUACUUGGAACUACAAUUAUGGGAGGAACAAUAUUGAAACCUUUGGAUGCUCCAGAAUCUUUUCGAUUGCUCAUUCGUAAACUACAAUCUUUGGCUCUGGAUGUGAAUAAUUUCCUUGUAUCUGAGAAAGACUUUCACAUUCAAAGGAAGGAAUUUUAA